GGCCGGGGGCGGUGUGGUGUAGUGGCAUCAUCACGCUGGCUCCGAGCGCUAGACUCUGUGGUUUCCCAGAGGUCUGGUGUUCGAGCCCCGUCCCGGGCCA